rnacentral:rRNA from 1 species
GAAUAUUGGACAAUGGGGGCAACCCUGAUCCAGCCAUGCCGCGUGAGUGAGGAAGGCCUUCGGGUUGUAAAGCUCUUUCGACGGGGACGAUGAUGACGGUACCCGUAUAAGAAGCCCCGGCUAACUUCGUGCCAGCAGCCGCGGUAAUACGAAGGGGGCUAGCGUUGUUCGGAAUUACUGGGCGUAAAGCGCGCGUAGGCGGUGGUCCAUGUCAGAGGUGAAAGCCCGGAGCUCAACUCCGGAAUUGCCUUUGAAACGGGACCGCUUGAGUCCGAGAGAGGAUGGCGGAAUUCCUAGUGUAGAGGUGAAAUUCGUAGAUAUUAGGAAGAACAUCAGUGGCGAAGGCGGCCAUCUGGCUCGGUACUGACGCUCAGGCGCGAAAGCGUGGGGAGCAAACAGG